rnacentral:rRNA from 1 species
AAUUCCGAGACAGGUGCUGCAUGGCUGUCGUCAGCUCGUGCCGUGAGGUGUUGGGUUAAGUCCCGCAACGAGCGCAACCCUAUUGCCAGUUGCUACCAGGUAAUGCUGGGCACUCUGGUGAGACUGCCCCGGUUAACGGGAGGAAGGUGGGGACGACGUCAAGUCAUCAUGGCCCUUACGCCUAGGGCUACACACGUACUACAAUGGCGCAUACAAAGGGCAGCGAUACCGCGAGGUGGAGCCAAUCCCAAAAAGUGCGUCCCAGUCCGGAUGCAGUCUGCAACUCGACUGCAUGAAGUUGGAAUCGCUAGUAAUUCGAGAUCAGCAUGCUCGGGUGAAUGCGUUCCCGGGCCUU